rnacentral:rRNA from 1 species
GAUGAACGCUGGCGGCGUGCCUAACACAUGCAAGUCGAGCGAACGGACGCGUAGCUUGGUUCUCUGAUGUCAGCGGCGGACGGAUGAGUAACAUGUGGUGAACCUACCUAUAAGACUGCGAUAACUUAGGGAAACUGGUGCUAAUAACGGAUAAUAUCUUGAACCGCAUGGUUCAAAAGUGUAAGCCGGUCUUGCUGUAACUUAUAGAUGGAACCGCGCUGCAUUAGCUAGUUGGUAGGGUAACUGCUUACCAAGGCAACGAUGAAUAGCCGACCUGAGAGGGGGAUGGGGCACUCUGGGGGUGAGACGCGGUACUGACUCCGACAGGAGGCAGCGGCACGGACGCGUCGGAGAUGGGCGGAAGACUGACGGAGCAGCGCCGGGUUAGUGAAGAAAGUCCGCGGAUCGUAUGACUCUGUUAGGGUGGAAGAACAUAUGUGUAAGGAGCUGUGCACAUCGUGACGGUACCUGAAGAAGAAGCCACGGCUAACUACGUG